GUCCCCAUAGCUCAAUGGAUAGAGUAGCGGCCUUCUAAGCCGUUGAUCCAGGUUCGAAUCCUGGUGGGGACG
rnacentral:tRNA from 2 species